rnacentral:rRNA from 1 species
UGGGGAAUAUUGGACAAUGGGCGCAAGCCUGAUCCAGCCAUGCCGCGUGAGUGACGAAGGUCUUCGGAUUGUAAAGCUCUUUUGGCGGGGACGAUAAUGACGGUACCCGCAGAAUAAGCCCUGGCUAACUUCGUGCCAGCAGCCGCGGUAAUACGAAGGGGGCUAGCGUUGUUCGGAAUCACUGGGCGUAAAGCGCACGUAGGCGGAUUUGUUAGUCAGGGGUGAAAUCCCGGGGCUCAACCUCGGAACUGCCUCUGAUACUGCAAAUCUCGAGUCCGAUAGAGGUGAGUGGAAUUCCUAGUGUAGAGGUGAAAUUCGUAGAUAUUAGGAAGAACACCAGUGGCGAAGGCGGCUCACUGGAUCGGUACUGACGCUGAGGUGCGAAAGCGUGGGGAGCAAACAGGAUUAGAUACCCACGUAGUCCCUGAGCGGGCUGGCAAGGCGCAU